rnacentral:rRNA from 1 species
UUCGAUAGGGUGACGAAGCGACGCCGCGUGUGGGAAGAAGGCCUUCGGGUUGUAAACCACUGUCGGGAGUUAAGAAAUGCAAGGAUAUUAAUAGUGUCUUUGUUUGACUAAGGCUCCGGAGGAAGCCACGGCUAACUCUGUGCCAGCAGCCGCGGUAAUACAGAGGCGGCAAGCGUUGUUCGGAAUUAUUGGGCGUAAAGAGCACGUAGGCGGCUAUGUAAGUCGGUUGUGAAAGCCUUCCGCUCAACGGAAGAACAGCAUCCGAUACUACAUGGCUUGAGUGCGGGAGGGGAGAGUGGAACUUCUGGUGGAGCGGUGAAAUGCGUAGAUAUCAGAAGGAACGCCGGCGGCGAAAGCGGCUCUCUGGCCCAUAACUGACGCUGAGUGUGCGAAAGCUAGGGGAGCAAACGGGAUUAGAUACCCCGGUAGUCCUAGCCGUAAACGAUGGGCACUAAGUAGAGGGGUUUU